rnacentral:ncRNA from 1 species
AACUAAAUCAAAGAUUUAGGAUCUCACUUAAGUUGACGAGGAUGGGGAGUAUCGAAUUCUUCGGCGGGUGCCCCACGGUAUCGCACUACCGUUAACAGUUAGUAAAUCUAUGAAGUGAUUUGUAGGACAACACUAACUUGGUGUUAAAA